rnacentral:rRNA from 1 species
UAUUUUGAUUGUGCUAAGGUAGCAUAAUAAUUAGUUUUUUAAUUGAGAACUAGUAUGAAUGGUUGGACGAGAAAGUGACUGUCUCAAUUUAAUUUAAAUUAGAAUUUUAUUUUUAAGUUAAAAAGCUUAAAUAAAUUUAAAAGACGAGAAGACCCUAUAGAGUUUUAUAAAAAUUUUUAUUUUUAUUAAUUUAAGUAUUUUUAUAUUAUUAUUAGUAAAUUUUUUAUUUAGUUGGGGUGACUAAAAAAUUUAAUAAACUUUUUUUUUUAUUUUAACAUUAAUUUAUGAAUGUUUGAUCC